UCCGGAAUGGUCUAACGGUCAUGAUUUCCGCUUGUCAAUUUGUUGAAAUACACUAUCAACAAGCGCGGGAGACCAGGGUUCGACUCCCUGUUCCGGAG
rfam:Tncinocarpus reesii 1704 scaffold_3 genomic scaffold, whole genome shotgun sequence.